rnacentral:rRNA from 1 species
GACGAACGCUGGCGGCGUGCCUAAUACAUGCAAGUCGAACGCAGUGGGGACGGGUGAGUAACACGUGGGUAACCUCCCAUCAGAGGGGAUAACGCUUGGAUACAGGUGCUAAACCGAUACUGAUGGAUGGACCCGCGGGGCAUUAGCUAGUUGGUGGGGUAACGGCUCACCAAGGCCACGAUGCAUAGCUGGCCUGAGAGGGUGACCGGCCACACUGGGACUGAGACACGGCCCAGACUCCUACGGGAGGCAGCAGUAGGGAAUCUUGGGCAAUGGACGAAAGUCUGAUCGAGCAAUGCCGCGUGAGUGAAGAAGGUUUUCGGAUCGUAAAACUCUGUUGUCAGAGAAGCGGUAUCUAACCAGAAAGCCACGGCUAACUACGUGCCAGCAGCCGCGGUAAUAC